GUGCAAACAUUUACUGAGAAAUUUUCUGGGAAGGUUGUGGUUAACAUCUUAAAGAAGAUGAAUCUCAAUCAGAUGGCCAGCGACCUGCAGGAGUGUCCUUUCCAGUUUGUUUGGUGAGAUGAAGAUGAAGGUGCCCCCCCCCCUAAAUCUACCACACAGCUUUGAUCAUUCCAGCUGGUGAGACCACAGCAUGAAAAGGAUGACUGAUACAUGUCAGGUUUUCAAUAGAUUUUUUUCAAGAAGUUUUCAAUGUGUGUUUACAACAAGGAACAGGAACAAAUGCAAAAAAGACUGGGAGGAAGGUAUGGUGACACUG